GGAAGGAUCAUUACAGAAUUGUCAACGGGUUGUUGCUGGUCCUCAAACGGGGACAUGUGCACGCUCUGUUUACACAUCCACUCACACCUGUGCACCCUCCGUAGUUCUAUGGUCUGGGAGACCCCGUCUUCCUGCCGUGGUUCUAUGUCUUUACACACACACUGUAAUAAAGUCUUAUGGAAUGUAUGCCGCGUCUAACGCAAUACAAUACAACUUUCAGCAACGGAUCUCUUGGCUCUCGCAUCGAUGAAGAACGCAGCGAAAUGCGAUAAGUAAUGUGAAUUGCAGAAUUCAGUGAAUCAUCGAAUCUUUGAACGCACCUUGCGCCCCUUGGCUAUUCCGAGGGGCAUGCCUGUUUGAGUAUCAUGAACACCUCAACUCUCAUGGUUCGCCAUGAUGAGCUUGGACUCUGGGGGUUUUGCUGGCCUGCGGUCGGCUCCCCUUAAAUGAAUCAGCCUCCCAGUGUUUGGUGGCAUCACGGGUGUGAUAAAUAUCUACGCUCGCAG
rnacentral:sRNA from 1 species